UACGGGGGGGGCAAGCGUUGUUCGGAAUUACUGGGCGUAAAGGGCUCGUAGGCGGCCAACUAAGUCAGACGUGAAAUCCCUCGGCUUAACCGGGGAACUGCGUCUGAUACUGGAUGGCUUGAGGUUGGGAGAGGGAUGCGGAAUUCCAGGUGUAGCGGUGAAAUGCGUAGAUAUCUGGAGGAACACCGGUGGCGAAGGCGGCAUCCUGGACCAAUUCUGACGCUGAGGAGCGAGAGCCAGGGGAGCAAACGGG
rnacentral:rRNA from 1 species